AAUAUUUGUCAAUGGGUGCAACCCUGAUCCAGCCAUGCCGCGAGUGUGAAGAAGGUCUUCGGACUGUACAGCACUUUAAGUAGGGAGGAAGGGCUUUAGGUUAAUACCCAGAAGUUUUUACGUUACCAACAGAUUAAGCACCGGCUAACUCUGCGCCAGCAGCCGCGGUAAUACAGCGGGUGCAAGCGUUAAUCGGAAUUACUGGGCGUAAAGCGCGCGUAGGUGGUUCAGUAAGAUGGGUGUGAAAUCCCCGGGCUUAACCUGGGAACUGCUUUCAUAACUGCUGAACUAGAGUACGGCAGAGGGUAGUGGAAUUUCCUGUGUAGCGGUGAAAUGCGUAGAUAUAGGAAGGAACACCAGUGGCGAAGGCGACUACCUGGACUGAUACUGACACUGAGGUGCGAAAGCGUGGGGAGCAAAC
rnacentral:rRNA from 1 species